rnacentral:tRNA from 1 species
GAGGUCGUGGUGUAGCGGCAGCACAGCGGACUUUUAAUCCGCCAGGCAGGGGUUCGAGUCCCCUCGACCUCA